rnacentral:rRNA from 1 species
AUUGAACGCUGGCGGCAGGCUUAACACAUGCAAGUCGAGCGAGCGGCGGACGGGUGAGUAAUGUCUGGGAAACUGCCUGAUGGAGGGGGAUAACUACUGGAAACGGUAGCUAAUACCGCAUACCAUCAGAUGUGCCCAGAUGGGAUUAGCUGGUAGGUGGGGUAAUGGCGCACCUAGGCGACGAUCCCUAGCUGGUCUGAGAGGAUGACCAGCCACACUGGGACUGAGGCAAGGGCCAGACUCCUACGGGAGGAAGCAGGGGGGAAUAUUGGGGAAUGGGCGCAAGCCUGAUGCAGCCAUGCCGCGUGUGUGAAGUAGGCCUUCGGGUUGUAAAGCACUUUCAGCGAGGAGGCGUUACUCGCAGAAGAAGCACCGGCUAACUCCGUGCCAGCAGCCGCGGUAAUAC